rnacentral:rRNA from 1 species
AUUGAACGCUGGCGGCAGGCUUAACACAUGCAAGUCGAGCGAGCGGCGGACGGGGGAGGAAUGGCUGGGAAACUGACUGCUGGAGGGGGAUAACUACUGGAAACGGUAGCUAAUACCGCAUACCAUCAGAUGGGCCCAGAUGGGAUUAGCUAGUAGGUGGGGUAAUGGCUCACCUAGGCGACGAGCCAUAGCUGGUCUGAGAGGAUGACCAGCCACACUGUGUCUGUGACACGGUGCAGACUCCUACGUGAGUCAGCAGUGGUGAAUAUUGCACAAUGGGCUCAAGCCUGCUGCAGCCAUGCCGCGUGUGUGAAGAAGGCCUUCGGGUUGUAAAGCACUUUCAGCUAGGAGGCGUUACUCGCAGAAUAAGCACCGGCUAACUCCGUGCCAGCAGCCGCGGUAAUAC